ACAACACUAUGGAGAUUGUACUGCUGUGUUCAAGCAGUAGAGAAUGGUAGGAAACUCCCGUGUGUAGAUUGACUCAACAGAGCUGAAUCCUUUUGUGUUACUGCACUGUCAGUUUUGUUUUACUUUCAAGGGUUAAGUUCAGAUGACCACCUGGGGUUUGGGCGGUUUUCCACUUAACCACCUGUAGUUAGUAAAGCUACAUUUAAACACCUGACUUUUUGAGUUAAAGUGAAAACGUUACAUUUUCCAUCCAAAUUAACUGUGCGUGCAUGUCAGACGCCAAAAGCGCGUGAAACGGUAAUUUUUUUUUGUUAAAUAUCCGAAAUACCCCUCUUGGCUUUUAUCAUUUUGUUCUACCCAUUUCACCUCUUUCUCCAUUUCUUCUUCCCAUUCAGCUCAUCCCAUUCAUUAAUGCAAACCCAAUUCAGAACUACAAAAAUAUCACCAAUUUUCAGAUAUAAAGACCUAAAAAAUCAUCACUACUCCCCUAAUUCAAAACCCAAACCCGACCAAUUGAAUCUAGAAGAACAAUUACAGGAACAAGAAGGAAUUUCUAUUGAGAUUGAAGAUGGAAAAGGAUCUUCUCUCUCCACCACUGCCGAAAAUCUGGUUCAACUGCUCCUGUUCUUUUUUGGUCGCCGAAAAUUAAGUUUUUUCGCCCACACGCUUGACCAGCUCCGCCUCCUGCCACCAAGUAGCACCAGCAGUCUCAGGGGGUUUAUGACCGAGUCGACUCGGGAUUGACUCGUUCUUGGGUAAGCCUUCGUUUGGGUCGUGUAGCAAUUUGGGGCACUGAAUUUUGGGGCUUGUUUGGAGAACAAAUGGGCACUGAAUUUGUUUUAAUUUUCGAGGCGUGUUGUCCUACCCCUUUUGAUUAGUAAGAGUUCUCUUCUGUUUCAGAAUGCGACAUAGUGGGUUUGGAUGAAAUGCAUCUCUCAUGGUAGACUUAGGAUUGAGGUAUUUUGGGGGUAUCUAUUUGAUUACACUCACUGAAACUGAGUUGAAGAUAUUUGAAGUUUUGUAUGUUAAAGUAAAUGUGUUCAAUCUAGAUCUCCAGUGCAUUAGUUUGAUUGUUUCAUGUGAAGAUGUAUAUCCUGCUUGUUUCUCGGUCUCAUACUCUAAUCUUUCUGUCUCCUCGGUCCUUAUUUUCUGCUUAUGGUUUGGUAGUUGAGUUGAGCUCCUUGGAGGCUUGACAAUCUGAUAUUAGAUCAAUCAAAUCUGAUGCCUUCUUCCUUUGUAGUCAUCUAAUCUCUGACCUUCUCUUCUGAUCUUCUUUUUUCGUUUCUCUCUCAAUUUCUUGUUUAGUCCUAAAUCUAUAAACUGCACACCAUGUGUUUGCUGAAUUGUUUCAGUCAAAACACUCUUCUUUUCUUCUCAAAAACUCAUUAUCAAUCUUCUCCUCUUAAUCUCCGGUCCAUUCUCUCUAGAUCUAAACUUCUACUCCAUUUUCUCACUCAAAAAACUAAAUAAAACUCACUUCAGCUCAUUUACUCCACUAAGUUGACAUCCUUAAUUCAUUUCUAAGACUCAGAAACUCAUUUUUUUCAGAAGUUUCUAAUUCUUUCUCACACUUCUAAUCACGGCUGGAUCAUCGUCAAAAAAUUAAGGGAACCUCUUUCAACAGGACUUUCUAAGUUUCAGAGACUACACUAAUGAUAAGCUCCAGAGUUUGGAUGAAAAAUGGAUGUGUUUAUGGAGCAUGUCACAAGCUUGGACAAAGUUCUUNNNNNNNNNNNNNNNNNNNNNNNNNNNNNNNNNNNNNNNNNNNNNNNNNNNNNNNNNNNNNNNNNNNNNNNNNNNNNNNNNNNNNNNNNNNNNNNNNNNNCCUCCUGAAACUUGUUUUAGGUCAAGUCUGAAUGUUUAAUUUUUUCCCUCCAGCUAGGAUGCAUGAAGCAGAAGCUUGAAGAACUUCUUGAUACCGUAAUGUCCAAUUACAGGUUCAUUGUGUUCCCUCUUAUGCUAUAUGAGGUGAAGGUAGAGUUAGUUAUUGCUAUGUUACUUUAGUACCUAUCAACUAAAAUGGCAUUUAAUGUAAUGCAUGUUUUUGUUUUAUAACAUUUGGUAUUUUGAUUUAAAGUGUUGGUUGGUAAAAGUUGGCUUUUAUGUUCCUGCUUUCCACAAAUAAAGAUUCAUGUAGCAUGUCUGUUUAUAGAACAUAUUGUUAGUUUUUAUGUGAUGUUUUUUCCUACUUUUUGAUUUUUUGCACAUUAACUGUGUGUUGAAGCUAGACAUUGUAUGGAAGAUGAUUAGUUGAGGGGUCUUGCCUGCAUAUCAUGAACCUGGUCAUUUUUGGGAGGUUUAAAAUCUUUUAAGAUAUAUGGACUGUAAAUGUUAAGGGGGGUGAGAGGUAAAGCAUGAUGGUGACAGACUGAAUAGAAUUUUUCCCGAGCAGUCUAGCAAAGUACAAAUACAUAGAGAAGACAUAUUAUGAAAAUGGAUUCAGAGGUGUAGACAAAUUAAGUUUUGCGGGUGUACUAUCAUAAAAUGGACGAGGUAAUAUCAAAAUCAAUGUGAAUAUUUAGUUUGGCGUGAAUGUUUCAGAAGUAGGGAUUUAAACAGUCUCUCCUCUUGCACAGUGGGUUGGGUCAAAGCUAAUGCAGGUCUGUAACCUAAACUAAUUUUAUACAACCUGGAAUAAAACCUCGAGGGUCAGUUUUAUCCGGAUAGUUUUAGGUAGAAAAAAUACUCUUAUAAAUUUCUACAGGGAUAGAUUCAUAUGGAUAGGUUUCCAACUUUCCUUACCUUCUUUGUUUUUAUUGGGAUAAGAUGAGUUAGAAUGUGUAAGAGAACUUUUGACAUUUUUUUUUUUGCUAAUUAACUUUUGACAUUUCCCUUGGAAGAGCUCUAUUAAUACUAUAAAAGGGCAUAUGAUAGUCCAUAUAGAGCCAAAGAGUUAUCCCAUGAAGAUUGGAUGACUAUCUCUUCCUUUCUCCCUACCCUACCCCCCCCAAAAAAAAAGGUCCACAAGGACAUAGGUACUACCAUCCCCCCCUCCUCCUCCUAUACCCUUGAUGAUACCAUGUAGUGUUGAGAAGCUCAGAUCAAAUUCAAUUGUGUUGCUUGGUAUGGCAUUCUGUGGAUCCUCCACCUGAAUUUUUCUUGAAUAUUUGACGCGAGAAUCCUUGAUAUUCAUCGGCAGGUUGAUGACAAUUGCUGAGAAGCAACAACUUCAAAUUUUGAUUCAGAAGCUGCCUCCGAGAAAUCUCGAUCGUGUUGUGGAAAUAAUCCAACAUGGCAAUCCUUCAGCAAAGCAUUUAUUGGAUAAUGUUUUUGUUGAUUUAGAAAGAGUAGUAAGUACAGACACUCCUCCCUUACACGGUCUCAUUUGUUUUUUUACUGGUCAAUUUGCAAAAUCAUGUAAUCUAUUAUUAUUUUUUUGAUUAAUAUAAUAUUUAAUAUUUUAAACUACUUAAUUAUUAUCAAGUGCAAAAUUGUUAUUUCAAAAAUUAAAAUAAGUUGAUAUCACAAUUUUAAUUUUAGGAUUUAGCGAUCAAAGUCGAAUGAGACUUGUUUUUGUGGGAUGGGGGGAUUUAUAAUAUCCUGAACCUUACUAAUCCCAUUGUUGUUUGUUUUGUAGGAUAACACAACACUAUGGAGAUUGUACUGCUGUGUUCAAGCAGUAGAGAAUGGUAGGAAACUCCCGUGUGUAGAUUGACUCAACAGAGCUGAAUCCUUUUGUGUUACUGCACUGUCAGUUUUGUUUUACUUUCAAGGGUUAAGUUCAGAUGACCACCUGGGGUUUGGGCGGUUUUCCACUUAACCACCUGUAGUUAGUAAAGCUACAUUUAAACACCUGACUUUUUGAGUUAAAGUGAAAACGUUACAUUUUCC
rnacentral:lncRNA from 1 species